AUGUGCCCUGUAUUUAACUCUGGCUACACUAGCUUUUAAGUCUGACAAGGAAAGCAAGAGUCUGUAAUUUCAGCUUCUAUAAGGAAGGGAUAUUCUUUUCUUCCCACCAAGGCUCACCAUGUAGAAGAUUCUUCAAACCCAAAAUGUGGUUCUGAUGUCCAGUGGCCAAAACAUCCACUAUGGAAGAACAACUCUGUGUGAGUCUUGGGAUGGUUUUCUGGCACUCUUGGUUCAGUGACUUCUAAGAAGAUGGUUCACAGAGGGAGAAGAAUACAGGCCAAAAUUAGGGAUUCAGUCAGUAUGGACUCCUGUAUUGACAAUCCACAGUGAUUUCCGAAGACUUCCUGGGAGAGUGGAAAUCAGAUUCGGAGUUUGAGAGUUCAGGCCUCCUGGAUAGUGAGGAACG
rnacentral:lncRNA from 1 species